rnacentral:tRNA from 1 species
GUCUUUGUGGUGUAGUGGUCAACACGCUCGAGGUGCAUUCGAGAGGUCCGUGGUUCGAGUCCCGGCGAGGGCA